rnacentral:rRNA from 1 species
GGCAGCGGGGGCUUCGGCCUGCCGGCGAGUGGCGAACGGGUGAGUAAUGCAUCGGAACGUGCCCAUGUCGUGGGGGAUAACUACNCGAAAGCGUGGCUAAUACCGCAUACGCCCUGAGGGGGAAAGCGGGGGAUCUUUCGGGACCUCGCGCGAUUGGAGCGGCCGAUGUCGGAUUAGCUAGUUGGUGGGGUAAAGGCUCACCAAGGCGACNAUCCGUAGCUGGUCUGAGAGGAUGAUCAGCCACACUGGGACUGAGACACGGCCCANACUCCUACGGGAGGCAGCAGUGGGGAAUUUUGGACAAUGGGCGCAAGCCUGAUCCAGCCAUGCCGCGUGAGUGAAGAAGGCCUUCGGGUUGUAAAGCUCUUUCGGCCGGGAAGAAAUCGUGGUCUCUAACAUAGGCCAUGGAUGACGGUACCGGACUAAGAAGCACCGGCUAACUACGUGCCAGCAGCCGCGGUAAUACGUAGGGUGCGAGCGUUAAUCGGAAUUACUGGGCGUAAAGCGUGCGCAGGCGGUUUGCUAANACAGGUGUGAAAUCCCCGGGCUUAACCUGGGAACUGCGCUUGUGACUGGCAGGCUAGAGUACGGCANAGGGGGGUGGAAUUCCUGGUGUAGCAGUGAAAUGCGUAGAUAUCAGGAGGAACACCGAUGGCGAAGGCAGCCCCCUGGGCCUGUACUGACGCUCAUGCACGAAAGCGU